rnacentral:rRNA from 1 species
CCUACGGGAGGCAGCAGUGGGGAAUAUUGCACAAUGGGGGAAACCCUGAUGCAGCGACGCCGCGUGAGUGAAGAAGUAUUUCGGUAUGUAAAGCUCUAUCAGCAGGGAAGAAAAUGACGGUACCUGACUAAGAAGCCCCGGCUAACUACGUGCCAGCAGCCGCGGUAAUACGUAGGGGGCAAGCGUUAUCCGGAUUUACUGGGUGUAAAGGGAGCGUAGACGGCCAGACAAGUCAGAAGUGAAAGCCCAUGGCUCAACCCUGGGACUGCUUUUGAAACUGCCGGGCUGGAGUGCAGGAGAGGUAAGCGGAAUUCCUAGUGUAGCGGUGAAAUGCGUAGAUAUUAGGAGGAACACCAGUGGCGAAGGCGGCUUACUGGACUGUAACUGACGUUGAGGCUCGAAAGCGUGGGGAGCAAACAGGAUUAGAUACCCCUGUAGUC